CCUACGGGAGGCAGCAGUGGGGAAUUUUGGACAAUGGGCGCAAGCCUGAUCCAGCAAUGCCGCGUGAGUGAAGAAGGCCUUCGGGUUGUAAAGCUCUUUCAGUUGAGAAGAAAAGAUUGUGACUAAUAAUUGCAAUUCAUGACGGUAUCAACAGAAGAAGCACCGGCUAACUACGUGCCAGCAGCCGCGGUAAU
rnacentral:rRNA from 2 species